CACCUAAUAUUACAUCCUGUUCUUUUGAAUUUUUGCCAGCCACUUCAAGGUUUAACUAAAUCUAAACAGGGGAGCCCAUCCUUAUCCAUGUAGAUCAGUGGUUAUCAUAGCUUUCUAGACGUCUCGCUGGUGGGGUGCUCUGCGGGGAGGAAGUGAUGCAGGGAAUAUUCCCUUAAUGUCCACAUAAGGGCGAAACACAAAGAAACUGUAAGCCUUUCGUACUGGUUCAUCUGAGUUGUUUGAUUUAGCAGUCAAUUUAAAGUAGAAGUCAGUCGUUUAUGGCGGUUGUUUGCAAACCAGGUGCGUUCUUAUCAGGCGAAAGUCAACUGAAACGCUCGGUUUUGUUUUUGAUGCUGACUAGCUAACGUUAGCUGGCUAUCUUUUUAGCUAUGUGAGGAUGUUUGUGUCGUGUCCUAAGAUAGCAAGCUAACGUUUUGUUUUACUAGCUAAUGUUAUUGGGGUGAUGUACGCGAUUUUCUAGACAAUCAUUUCUUUUUAAAAGCAAGUAAACAAACUGAAUCUACAUGUGGGAGAAUGCUUAUGGUGACAAGAUGGUGUGUGUCAUACAGCAUUGCGGUCACUACAAUGGAGCAGAAAAAGAUGACACCAUCUAGAGUGGUCAAUGCAUUCUGAGGAAGUGUCUGGCUCAAGGGCAUGUUGAGACGUCUCACCAGGCCAGAGCAGAGGCGUCUAGGUGGGGCAGGCAGGGCCUGAAGGAGGUGG